UGUCAUGCUUUUCCACAGCUUUCUUGAACUUCUUUUCGAUAUGAUAUCGAUAUAUACAUAAAAGGUAGAAGUUCAAGGAAGCUGUGGGAAAACAUGGCGA